rnacentral:rRNA from 1 species
AAGAAAGUAAGAAAGGGCGCAUGGCGGAUGCCUUGGCUCACGGAGGCGAUGAAGGACGUGAUAAGCUGCGAUAAGCCUUGGGUAGGUGCAAAUAACCUUUGAUCCAAGGAUUUCCGAAUGGGACAACCCAGCAGGUUGAAGACCUGUUAUCACUACAAAAGUAGUGAGGCGAACGAAGGGAACUGAAACAUCUUAGUACCUUUAGGAAGAGAAAAUAAAUAAUGAUUCCCCUAGUAGUGGCGAGCGAACGGGGAAUAGCCCAAACCUGCUUUGUGGCAACGCUUAGCAGGGGUUGUAGGACCACGCUGUCGUACUUAGAUUGUGAGAAGAAUGUUCUGGAAAGAACAAUCAUAGAGGGUGAUAAUCCCGUAUUCGAAGCAUGACGAGACGUAGUGGUAUCCUGAGUAACGCGGAACACGUGAAAUUCUGCGCGAAUCUGCCGGGACCAUCCGGUAAGGCUAAAUACUCCCGUGAGACCGAUAGUGAACGAGUAC